GAUGAACGCUGGCGGCGUGCCUAAUACAUGCAAGUCGAGCGAACAGACGAGGAGCUUGCUCCUCUGACGUUAGCGGCGGACGGGUGAGUAACACGUGGAUAACCUACCUAUAAGACUGGGAUAACUUCGGGAAACCGGAGCUACUACCGGAUAAUAUAUUGAACCGCAUGGUUCAAUAGUGAAAGACGGUUUUGCUGUCACUUAUAGAUGGAUCCGCGCCGCAUUAGCUAGUUGGUAAGGUAACGGCUUACCAAGGCAACGAUGCGUAGCCGACCUGAGAGGGUGAUCGGCCACACUGGAAGUGAGACACGGUCCAGACUCCUACGGGAGGCAGCAGUAGGGAAUCUUCCGCAAUGGGCGAAAGCCUGACGGAGCAACGCCGCGUGAGUGAUGAAGGUCUUCGGAUCGUAAAACUCUGUUAUUAGGGAAGAACAAAUGUGUAAGUAACUAUGCACGUCUUGACGGUACCUAAUCAGAAAGCCACGGCUAACUACGUG
rnacentral:rRNA from 1 species